ACUGCUAUUUGGGUGGGGAUAAGCCAUGCGAGUCUAAUGGGAUGCCUAAGCUUCCCAUGGCGAACUGCUCAGUAACACAUGAUCAACUUACCCUAUGGAGAGAAAUAACCUCGGGAAACUGAGGAUAAUAUCUCAUAGAUGAUUAGGCUUGGAAAAGUUUUUCAUUUAAAAGGAUAGAAUAAAUGGUUUUUAUUCGCCAUAGGAUAGGAUCGUGGUCGAUUAUGGUUGUUGGUAAGGUAACGGCUUACCAAGCCGAUAAUCGAUAGGGGCCGUGAGAGCGGGAGCCCCGAGAUGGGUACUGAGACAACGACCCAGGCCUUACGAGGCGCAGCAGGCGCGGGACCUCCGCAAUACACGAAAGUGUGACGGGGCCACCCAAAGUGUCCAUAUUUGGACUGUGGUAGGUGAGUAAUAUCCCCUACUAGAAAGGAGAGGGCAAGGCUGGUGCCAGCCGCCGCGGUAAAACCAGCUCUUCAAGUGGUCGGGAUAAUUAUUGGGCUUAAAGUGUCCGUAGCCGGUUCAGUAAGUUCCUGGUAAAAUCGGGUAGCUUAACUAUCCGUAUGCUAGGAAUACUGCUGUACUAGAGGGCGGGAGAGGUCUGAGGUACUACAGGGGUAGGGGUGAAAUCUUAUAAUCCUUGUAGGACCACCAGUGGCGAAGGCGUCAGACUGGAACGCGCCUGACGGUGAGGGACGAAAGCCAGGGGAGCGAACCGGAUUAGAUACCCGGGUAGUCCUGGCCGUAAACGAUGCAUACUAGGUGAUGGCACGGCCAUGAGCCGUGUCAGUGCCGUAGGGAAACCGUUAAGUGUGCCGCCUGGGAAGUACGGUCGCAAGGCUAAAACUUAAAGGAAUUGGCGGGGGAGCACCACAAGGGGUGAAGCCUGCGGUUUAAUUGGACUCAACGCCGGGAAAACUUACCAGGGGAGACAGCAGAAUGACGGUCAGGUUGACGACCUUACCCGACGAGCUGAGAGGAGGUGCAUGGCCGUCGCCAGUUCGUGCCGUGAGGUAUCCUGUUAAGUCAGGCAACGAACGAGAUCCGCGCCUUUAUUUGCCAGCAAGAAGUUACGACUUCGUUGGGAACACUAAAGGGACCGCCGUCGAUAAGGCGGAGGAAGGAGCGGGCAAAGGCAGGUCAGUAUGCCCCGAAACCCCUGGGCUACACGCGGGCUGCAAUGGUAUGAACAAUGGGCUGUAACUCCGAAAGGAGAAACCAAUCCCGAAAUCAUAUCUCAGUUGGGAUUGUCGGCUGUAACCCGCCGACAUGAACGUGGAAUCCCUAGUAAUCGUGUGUCAUCAUCGCACGGUGAAUACGUCUCUGCUCCUUGCACACACCGCCCGUCGCUCCAUCCGAGUGUACUAAAAAUGAGGUGUGGUCAUUAAGGUUAUAUCGAGUUUUUAGUAUGCGAGGAGGGAGAAGUCGUAACAAGGUA
rnacentral:rRNA from 1 species